rnacentral:rRNA from 1 species
AACGUACGCUGGCGGCACGCCUUAUACAUGCAAGUCGAACGCAGUAGCAAUACUGAGUGGCAAACGGGUGAGUAUAAUGUGGGUAUCUGCCUUUUGGUUUGGAAUAACAUGAGGAAACUUGUGCUAAUACCGGAUAAGCCUUCACAGGGAAAGUUUUAUACGCCGAAAGAUGAGCCCGCACUUGAUUAGCUUGUUGGUGAGGUAAUGGCUCACCAAGGCGACGAUCUUUAGCUGGUCUGAGAGGACGAUCAGCCACAUUGGGACUGAGACACGGCCCAGACUCCUACGGGAGGCAGCAGUGGGGAAUAUUGGACAAUGGGCGCAAGCCUGAUCCAGCCAUACCGCGUGUGUGAAGAAGGCUUUCGGGUUGUAAAGCACUUUAAGUAAGGAGGAAAAGAUUGUAGUUAAUACCUGCAAUCCGUGACGUUACUUACAGAAUAAGGACCGGCUAAUUCCGUGCCAGCAGCCGCGGUAAUACGGAAGGUCCAAGCGUUAAUCGGAAUUACUGGGCGUAAAGCGCGCGUAGGUGGUUUUUUAAGUUGGAUGUGAAAGCCCUGGGCUCAACCUAGGAACUGCAUCCAAAACUAGAUGACUAGAGUACGAAAGAGGGAAGUAGAAUUCACAGUGUAGCGGUGGAAUGCGUAGAUAUUGUGAAGAAUACCAAUGGCGAAGGCAGCUUCCUGGUUCUGUACUGACACUGAGGUGCGAAAGCGUGGGUAGCGAACAGGAUUAGAUACCCUGGUAGUCCACGCCGUAAACGAUGACAACUAGCUGUUGGGAGACAAGAUCUCUCAGUGGCGCAGCUAAACGCUUUAAGUUGUCCGCCUGGGGAGUACGGCCGCAAGGUUAAAACUCAAAUGAAUUGACGGGGACCCGCACAAGCGGUGGAGCAUGUGGUUUAAUUCGAUGCAACGCGAAAAACCUUACCUACUCUUGACAUACUUGGAAGCUCUUGUAAUGAGAGUGUGCUUUUAGAGCCAAGAUACAGGUGCUGCAUGGCUGUCGUCAGCUCGUGUCGUGAGAUGUUGGGUUAAGUCCCAUAACGAGCGCAACCCUUACCCUUAUUUGCCAGCGGUUCGGCCGGGAACUAUAAGGGGACUGCCGGUGACAAACCGGGGGAAGGUGAGGACGACGUCAAGUCAUCAUGGCCCUUACGAGUAGGGCUACACACGUGCUACAAUGGGGAAUACAGACGGACGCUAAAGCGUGAGCUGGUGCUAAUCCUAAAAAAUUUCUCGUAGUCCGGAUUGCAGUCUGCAACUCGACUGCAUGAAGUCGGAAUCGCUAGUAAUCGCGAAUCAGCAUGUCGCGGUGAAUACGUUCUCGGGUCUU